AGUGAACGCUGGCGGUAGGCCUAACACAUGCCAGUCGAACGGCAGCACAGUAAGAGCUUGCUCUUACGGGUGGCGAGUGGCGGACGGGUGAGGAAUACAUCGGAAUCUACUUUUUCGUGGGGGAUAACGUAGGGAAACUUACGCUAAUACCGCAUACGACCUACGGGUGAAAGCAGGGGAUCUUCGGACCUUGCGCGAUUGAAUGAGCCGAUGUCGGAUUAGCUAGUUGGCGGGGUAAAGGCCCACCAAGGCAACGAGCCGUAGCUGGUCUGAGAGGAUGAUCGGCGAAAGUGGAAAUGAGAAACGGUGCAGACGCCGAAGGGAGGCAGCAGUAGGGAGUGUUCAGCAAGGGGCGAAAGUCUGACGGAGCAACGACGCGUGAGUGAUGAAGGUAUGCGGAUCGUAAAACGCUGUUAUUAGGGAAGAAGAAAUGUGUAAGUAACUCUGCACGUCGUGACGGUACCGAAGCAGAAAGCAACGGCUAACUACGU
rnacentral:rRNA from 1 species